rnacentral:rRNA from 1 species
AUUGAACGCUGGCGGCAUGCUUUACACAUGCAAGUCGAACGGUAACAGGUUAAGCUGACGAGUGGCGAACGGGUGAGUAAUGCAUCGGAACGUGCCCGGUCGUGGGGGAUAACGCAGCGAAAGCUGCGCUAAUACCGCAUACGAUCUGAGGAUGAAAGCGGGGGACCGUAAGGCCUCGCGCGAUCGGAGCGGCCGAUGUCAGAUUAGGUAGUUGGUGGGGUAAAGGCUCACCAAGCCAACGAUCUGUAGCUGGUCUGAGAGGACGACCAGCCACACUGGGACUGAGACACGGCCCAGACUCCUACGGGAGGCAGCAGUGGGGAAUUUUGGACAAUGGGCGAAAGCCUGAUCCAGCAAUGCCGCGUGCAGGAAGAAGGCCUUCGGGUUGUAAACUGCUUUUGUACGGAGCGAAAAGGUCUCCUCUAAUACAGGGGGCUCAUGACGGUACCGUAAGAAUAAGCACCGGCUAACUACGUGCCAGCCGCCGCGGUAA